rnacentral:sRNA from 1 species
AAGUUUAUGCCGACGGACUGUGGCCGGCGAUGGGCACGGGCUGUCUGUUUGCAUUCUGAUUGGGAACACUGGGAUCAUUUUCAUCAUGCCGACAGUGGUGGUAAUGGAUGUAUCCCUUUCCAUGACCCGACCUGUGUCUAUUGAGGGGUCCGAGGAAUACCAGCGUAAGCACCUAGCAGCCCAUGGUUUAACGAUGCUGUUUGAGCACAUGGCCACAAAUUACAAGCUUGAAUUUACAGCACUUGUGGUUUUUUCAUCACUUUGGGAGUUGAUGGUCCCCUUCACGAGAGAUUAUAAUACCCUACAGGAAGCACUAAGUAAUAUGGAUGAUUAUGACAAAACCUGCUUGGAGUCUGCAUUAGUUGGUGUUUGCAAUAUCGUUCAGCAAGAAUGGGGUGGUGCAAUUCCUUGCCAGGUUGUCCUGGUGACAGAUGGCUGUCUUGGCAUUGGUAGAGGGUCACUGCGACAUUCCCUAGCCACUCAAAAUCAAAGAAGUGAGAGCAACAGGUUUCCACUACCUUUUCCUUUCCCAUCUAAGUUAUAUAUCAUGUGCAUGGCGAAUUUGGAGGAGGUAAUACCUUUUGCUAAGUUUUUAGUUUGAUUAGGCAUAUUUUACAGCUUAGUUUAUUUUUCAGUAUAUACCACUAGUGCUAUAUUGUAUAUACUGUAGCAUUGAACUCCACUGGUUUCAGCUGAGGCUGGUAUUUUAUUUGAAAACAUUCUGGGUCUCAAAUGUUCUUUGAAAUUUCAGAGUGUUGCCCCAUCUGGGGAACAUAGCUGGAGCUAUUAUCCAUCCUGCUGAUGGGUGCAUAAAGGGUCAAGGUGUUCUUUUUGGUGUUAUUCAUUUCCCUUAUUUAAGAAUUCUUAUGUCCAUUCCACCAGAAAUGUUGAUAGGAGUGUGCUUUGACUUUGACCGAAGAGUAAAGUAACAUUAUUCUGAUAUAUGUUUUAUUAAACACUUAAAUUUUU